rnacentral:rRNA from 1 species
GAUGAACGCUGGCGGCGUGCUUAACACAUGCAAGUCGAACGGAAAGGCCAGUGCUUGCACUGGUGCUCGAGUGGCGAACGGGUGAGUAACACGUGGGUGGUCUGCCCUGCACUUUGGGAUAAGCCUGGGAAACUGGGUCUAAUACCAGAUAGGACCAUGCUUUGGAUGGUGUGGUGGAAAGUUUUUUCGGUGUGGGAUGAGCUUGCGGCCUAUCAGCUUGUUGGUGGGGUAAUGGCCUACCAAGGCGUCGACGGGUAGCCGGCCUGAGAGGGUGUACGGCCACAUUGGGACUGAGAUACGGCCCAGACUCCUACGGGAGGCAGCAGUGGGGAAUAUUGCACAAUGGGCGCAAGCCUGAUGCAGCGACGCCGCGUGGGGGAUGACGGCCUUCGGGUUGUAAACUCCUUUCGCAACUGACGAAGCUUUUUGUGACGGUAGGUUGAGAAGAAGCACCGGCUAACUACGUG